rnacentral:lncRNA from 1 species
CACAAGCGAUGAAAACACACACCCUUAAACAGCAUAUAAGACUCAAGAUCCAAGCACAACAGAGAUGUUGAAAUCAAACAGAGCUCUUCUUUAGGUGAAACUGGCAUUUACAACAACCGGAGUCACGGAAACAAAGAGAAACCACAGCACCGCAAAGUUACCGGGGGAAAAAAAGUUGCAGUCAGACUCGAUACAAGAACUCAGCCGACAGAGACCUAGACCGGCUACAAAUAGGUCGGAUGUCAGUUUCCAUUAUACAUUACCAGACGCAUAUACAAGAGCCUGUUAGUCAGUUCUUUUCAGUUAGUUGCAGGACCCUUCGCCAUGAGCCAGCCAGCAAACCGCUCUAUAGAGUUGAGAUGGUACCAAGCUGCAGCCUACUAUCCCUACUAGUCUCACCAGAGUUUGGUGCAUGCCGAGUACUUGAACUGAAUGAAGUUGGUCUGUGCUAAUAACGCGCUGGCUCACAUAGGCUCGGAUCCAAUGUAUGAAAGAAAUAUCUUAUCCUGUUGGACAAAUGAUAAUGCUUAUAUCACUGGUGCUACUCCACACAGCCGGGCACGGCCAGGGUUCAGUAGCGAGUCAGACAUUAUCCAUCCCUGU